rnacentral:rRNA from 1 species
GACGAACGCUGGCGGCGUGCUUAACACAUGCAAGUCGAACGGUAAGGCCCUUCGGGGUACACGAGUGGCGAACGGGUGAGUAACACGUGGGUGAUCUGCCCUGCACUUCGGGAUAAGCCUGGGAAACUGGGUCUAAUACCGGAUAGGACCACUGCCUGCAUGGGUGGUGGUGGAAAGCUUUUGCGGGGUGGGAUGGGCCCGCGGCCUAUCAGCUUGUUGGUGGUGUGAUGGCCUACCAAGGCGACGACGGGUAGCCUGCCUGAGAGGGUGACCGGCCAAACUGGGACGGAGAUACGGCCCAGACUCCUACGGGAGGCAGCAGUGGGGAAUAUUGCACAAUGGGCGCAAGCCUGAUGCAGCGACGCCGCGUGAGGGAUGACGGCCUUCGGGUUGUAAACCUCUUUCAGCACCGACGAAGCGCAAGUGACGGUAGGUGCAGAAGAAGGACCGGCCAACUACGUGCCAGCCGCCGCCGUAA